CCAGAGUGAUGUAGCAAGAUGAAGAGCUUGCACACAAAGAGCCUUCACAAGAAAAAAAAGAUGCAUAAUAAUGGAAAGAACCAAAAAUGGAGCCAAGCAAACAGAGAGCCCGGCUGCUUAAUGCAAACAGCACCGCUCUGGAGUGGCAGGGGUCAGCGGAGGAGCAAUGGAGGGGCAGGUCCACAUGCCAUUGACUACAGAAACUAGGCUGAACAGAUUUAGGACAGGGGAAAGAAUUCUGACCAACAGUUCUGUCCAGAUUGGUAAAACUAAAUGUUAAUAUAAACGCGAAUGUAUUUGAGCCUGUCAAGAUGAUGAUAAACGGGUUCAUAUGGAACAAGG